UCUUAUUUCCACCCUAAUUAAUGCAAAUUUAGUCAUGUUUAAAAAGUAAAUGUCUUGUUUAAUAUUUAAAAUGUGAUGUUCUCCGAUCUGCAGAGGUGGAGGAGAGUUUUGCAGAGUUAAAAAAAAUCUACAAGCUUCGAGAUCACCAUCAUUUGAUGACCAGAGGAACCAGACAGAACCGAGCACUACAGAAGAUCAAACAAGUACAUGAAAUCUGAGAUCAUCCGUCGAUGAAAAGGAUGGGAAAAGGUGAAGUCGGGUGUUCAAAGAUUUUAAACAACUGGCUAUAAUUUUACACAGAAAAGCAUCUUCACAAGGUCCUUUGCUGUUGUUCUGGGAUUGAUUUGCACUUUUCACACCAAACUACGUUCAUCUCUAGGAGACUGCAGAUGGCUGCGUGGUCCCAUGGUGUAAAGACAAUUUUUAUUUUUGG